AUGAAUGUAUGUUUUUAGCUGUGAGCCGCCCUGAGUCUUCGGAGAUGGGGCGGCAUACAAGUCCAAUAAAUAAAUAAUAAAUAAAUCUAGACCAACCCCCUGCUCAAGCAGGAGAUCCUAUACCAUUUCUGACAGAUGGCUGUCCAGUCUCUUCUUGAAAGCUCCCAUUCUGAUUCUUUGUUCUGUGCAAUGCAGAGGCCAUUCUGAUGGUUAACAAAUUUAUCAUAAGUAAGCUAUAUAGCAGCUAUCUUGAUUUUAGCAUUUUGGUGAAUCAGAUUAUUGUUUAUUACUUCAUCUACAACUUGGUUUGCUUUCACGCUCUUCAUUUUAAUCUCUUCCAAAUCAACCCCCUUGAGGAAGGCCGGGGUGAAAGAAAGCCGCCAGCCCCCAAGCCACCCUUCCCACAAUCCACCUAACCAGUUUACCCAAUUCACUCCCCCCACCCCCUCCCUGGGCUUCUAUAAUAAUACCCAGAAUCAUGGGAUGUUCAAGCGGGCUGAGCUUAUCGGAUGGUGCGAAGGCUAGGCGCAAAGUUUCGAACUGAAUCGCACCUACCCGCCUGCAGCUGAUCAAGGGGGGGGGGGAGGAAACUUCACAGUUUGCAAUCCCUGCUAGUCCACCAGGCUUGAACUACAACUCCCAGAACCCCCUGGCCAAUCUGGGAAAAGCUGCGGUCGGCUGACGCGAUCGCAGCUGCGCGUCUCCAUCCCUCCCCCCACUGUUGCAAAGCGCAGCUGCUGGAGCGGCGGAAGGAAACGGGGUUAUCUGCCCGGGCAGCUGCCCUUUCACUGCCUUUUGCGACGCGGGCGCUCUCCGGUUCCUGCGGGAGUCCCGCCCGGCCGGACAUGGGCGAUGUGGCGCAUGCAAUCACUUCGUCGGCGGCUCUGGCUGCCUGGCUUGCAGCUCUGGGCGGCUGGGCCUCUCUCGGCUUCCUGCAGCUGCAAAGCCGGCUUCUCGGAGCUUCGCCGCCCUGCGCCGCCGAGGGAUCAACGCUGCCCCAUGGCCGGGUCUUCCCAGCACGCCUCUUUUAAUCACCUGGCAAACGGAGGAGAAAGGAAGACAGUUAUCUGCAUUGAGGGGAAUAUUGCUAGUGGGAAAACAACCUGCCUGGAUUAUUUUGCUAAAAACACUGGCAUUGAGGUGAUGCAUUGUGGUUUCUUAAAGUUUCUUUUUAAAGUGUGCUUCACGUGGUUGAAAACAAAUAGGAUCCGGAUUGCCAUUCACAAGUUUAGUGAUGUUCCUGCCCUAUGAAUUUUUUUUCCACCACAGUUUCUUUGAAUAUCAUGUCUUAGUGAGAGUUCCAGAAAUGUUGCUGUUUUUCCCCCUCCCCUGAAACUACUUUAUACGACUUAUUUUCAAUGCUUCAGGGCAGAUUACAAAAACAUAAUAAAAUAAUUCAUUUGUAAAACUCAAUUCCACAAAAUACAUAGCACCUGAAAAGCCUUGGUGAAAACAGGCUGGAACUUUGUCUAUAUAAAAGCAAAAUACCACUCAUGCAUCAUUACAAAAUCUCCAGAACCAUAAAGCCUACAAACUUGAAAUUUGGCACAUAUGUUCCUUUUGGCUUCUAGCGCUCACUAAGAAAGAAUUUUUCGAAAUGACCAUCAGAGCAUUAGUAUUUCUUAUAUUAUUAUUAUUAACGCCUCUGAUGCUAAGGAGUUCUACUCCCACUCCCCACCUGAAAAGAAAUCUGUUCCAACUGCAGUUGAGCUAAGCCACACCCAGGCUCCUUGCUGUCUCCUUGCUCACACUGCAAAUACUAUUUCACUUUCCAAACAGCCCUCAACUCUCUCACACACUGACAGGACUCUAGCCAGAUGAAUACCGAUAGAUGCUGGUAGGCAGAGGCAGCAUUCCCCCCCCCCCGCCUCUAAUUUUCCUCCCCAAAAACUUGUCCGAUCACAUAGUUUCGUAGCAAAGCACUGGUACCCUGCUAGUAAACCAUAAUAAAGGGGGUGGGGUACUAUAAUUUGAAUGGCAUUUUGCUCAUUAAUACAUAUCUGCCUUUGAAAAAAGUGGACUCAGUUGCUAACCGGUAACUGGUAGACCGAACCUGGUUUAAACCCAUCUCUGUAUCGCUGUAUGUCAGUUUCAAAAGUUGUCUGUUGCUGCAUCACUUCUGAAACUGACAGAUAUCAGCUUGGAUCACCACAGAAAGUGCUUGUGUUAAGCUUCUACAAGAUAACGGUGGGAGGAUUGAAAAGGCUGGCUGGAUGUUCAGAAAGUGAAGUUAAAGAAGGUGUGGCAAAAAUUUUAAAAAUGUUUUUUUUUAAAUGAAUAAAUAAAUCAAGACGAAACUCCCUUAAACACUGCAGAAUUAGAAAGAAACACAAAGCAGAGACAAAAGCAGAAGCUAAUGAAACAAUGAAAAGAUCACAAAUCGGGGGUUCUCAACCUUGUUUUCACCACACACACCCUUUAAAUACCUUUUGUGGCCACGGACCCUCAAGACUUAACGCAAGAUUUAAAUGACAUUUCUUCAAACCUUUGUGGACCCAGUGACGACGUUGCAGCCCCACAGAGCUCUGCAGACCACAGGUUGAGAACCACUAAUAUACAUAAUUUAUUGAUCAGUGGUUUCACAUAGUAGCGAAAGAGCAUAAGAGGAAUCGUAAGAUAAUUUUUUCAAGGGCAAAACUGGUCUGGCAAAGCAGUCAGUCAUAUAGAAGCUUACAUACUUUGCAUACUAUCUGUCUGAGGGUACCAGCAGCUAAUCUUCCACAUUCCUUGGUUGUUUUUGUAGUGUAGUUUCAGAGAAGUAAACUAAAAUUUUCUGUAUUGCACUGAUUAUUUUUUUAAAACUUUCAACCCAGGUGUUGACAGAACCAGUAUCUAAAUGGAGGAAUAUCCAUGGUCACAACCCUCUGGUGAGUUGCUAGAAUGAAGCUCCUGGACUUAUUUUCUGUAUUAAUUGUUUUAACUGCUUGAAAGCCCUUGAAUUAUAAUGAGAAACUAAAACUGAACUACCCUUGUCUAACACCAGAAAAUAUAUUGAUUCUCUAAGUUCAAGCAUUAUUAUUUAGAUUUUUUCCUAAUUAGGUUGCUUGUUUCCAAGGGAGGUCACUGUCCCGCAGAUGGGCGGGUGUGAGACCCUCCUCGUGAGAUUGGGCCCUGGUGGUCGGUUGGGUUUGCUGAACGUACCUGUCCCCCAGCUGCGUGGCGGCGGCCCUGCCUGGGCUGCUCGACGUCCUCUCGGAGGUGGCGGUGGAGUUCCCUAGGCUCAUAGUUCUGAGGGACUUUAACCUGCCGUCGCUGGGGGGGGGCGUCGGGUUUAGCUCAGGAGUUCAUGGCAUCCAUGGCAGCCAUGAACCUGACCCAGGUGAUCCAAGGACCCACCCACGAGGGGGGGAACACACUUGACCUGGUUUUUAUCUCGGGGCAGUGGUGUAGUGAUCUGGGGGAGGGUUCUCCAUCUACCCUCCCUUUAUCGUGGACAGAUCACUAUCUCCUGCAGCUGG
ensembl:lncRNA